rnacentral:rRNA from 1 species
ACGGGUGAGUAUAAUGUGGGAAUCUGCCUUUUGGUUUGGAAUAACACGGGGAAACUUGUGCUAAUACCGAAUAAGCCCUUACGGGGAAAGUUUUAAUGCCGAAAGAUGAGCCCGCACUUGAUUAGCUAGUUGGUAAGGUAAAAGCUUACCAAGGCAACGAUCAAUAGCUGUUCUUAGAGGAAGACCAGCCACAUUGGGACUGAGACACGGCCCAGACUCCUACGGGAGGCAGCAGUGGGGAAUCUUGCACAAUGGGGGAAACCCUGAUGCAGCGAUGCCGCGUGAGUGAAGAAGGCCUUUGGGUUGUAAAACUCUUUCGUCGGGGAAGAAAAUGACUGUACCCGAAUAAGAAGGUCCGGCUAACUUCGUGCCAGCAGCCGCGGUAAUACGAAGGGACCUAGCGUAGUUCGGAAUUACUGGGCUUAAAGAGCUCGUAGGUGGUUAAAAAAGUUGAUGGUGAAAUCC